rnacentral:rRNA from 1 species
CCUACCAUGCAAGUCGAGCGCCCCGCAAGGGGAGCGGCGGACGGGUGAGUAACGCGUGGGAACGUACCCUUUGCUACGGAAUAGCCUCGGGAAACUGGGAGUAAUACCGUAUGUGCCCUUCGGGGGAAAGAUUUAUCGGCAAAGGAUCGGCCCGCGUUGGAUUAGGUAGUUGGUGGGGUAAUGGCCUACCAAGCCGACGAUCCAUAGCUGGUUUGAGAGGAUGAUCAGCCACACUGGGACUGAGACACGGCCCAGACUCCUACGGGAGGCAGCAGUGGGGAAUCUUAGACAAUGGGCGCAAGCCUGAUCUAGCCAUGCCGCGUGAGCGAUGAAGGCCUUAGGGUUGUAAAGCUCUUUCAGUGGGGAAGAUAAUGACUGUACCCACAGAAGAAGCCCCGGCUAACUCCGUGCCAGCA